UCCAAGACUCCCCAACAGCCUCCCCAACAACCCUCCCCAGAGCUCUGCCCUUGUGGGCACUCUGGUUUAUAGUCUGACCCUUCAGGGACAUGUCAUAAUUGAAGCAAACACCACCCAGACUUUGCAGAGGAAUUUCUAAAGCCAAAACACUUUACUCAUAAACACCACACAAGAUAUUCAGAUUGAGGCUAAAUGAUACUACUGCCCCAUCUCCCUAACACCCUCCCAGCUCAUGCAAUGUGCCGUGCCCUCCCCCUGCACCCCACAUCCCGUCUCCACUCCACUCUCAACAAGCUUUCUAGCCACUUUUUCCUGCCCAAGACUUGAGCCUCUGCUCCCCAGCGACCUAUGCACUGCCCCUCACACUGCUGGUUGCUCCAUCAGCUUGGGGAUCCCGUCCUCGCCUGGUUCUUUGUAGGAGAGCCCCUAGCUCCUUAGGGCAGGGACACCAAGGGGGAGCAGUCACAGGCUAGGAAGGAGGCCCCAGAGGGGGAUGGAGCCGUUAUGAACAUAGGACUGGAAAGAGCCUCGGGGUCACCGAGUCCAGCCCGUGCUAUGGCCGGCAACCCCGUCACGCCAUCCCCUUCGUAAACUUACCAAGCUCCACCUGAAGCAUUGUCUCCAUGCGUUUCCUUUCCCUCCCCACCGCUAGGGAGGCGCUCGGGUCCAGAGGCUCCCCAAACAGCAUGCACAGACUCAGGCCCUGGAUCCCCCGCCCCAGACCGGAGGCUGGGCUGGACUCAGAACAGGAGGAGUGAGAGACUCUGUGUCCCGUUCUCUAGUCUCCUCAGGCAUCCAGCUCCCCACAACCUGUACAGACGCUGGAGGUGGACAGAUCGCUCCCUGUAUUACUACAAAGCUUGGAACACUGGGGAACCAAACAAUGACCAUGGUGUCGAGUACUGUGUCGAGCUGCCGAAUUACAGGGAUUUUAAGAACUGGAAUGAUAAAGACUGUCAGACGAAAAAUGGCUACGUUUGCAAGUAUCGACCCUAGCGAGGGGAGUCGCUCUCCUGCGCCUGAAGGGGGAGCUCAGCGCCUGGGAUGUAAAAGAACUGGGCUCCUUGGGCAUGAUCAGACAAGAUCCCAGACUUUCCAAUGCCUUUGCUGCAUCAAGGGACAGUCCUCUCCCUCCCUGAGAGACCAGAUCUCACUUCCCCAGCUGCAAACUCUCUUCCCCGAAGUGUGUCUGCUCUAGUUACAUUCCUGCCCCCUCCCCUCAGUGGCUGCAGCCCACAACAAGAAUAAACUCUCCUGAGCAUGCAGUUCUGUGUGUGUCUCCUCUGUCCCAAUCCUGGCCCUGCAUAGAGGCGUCCAUCCAGCCCCCUCUGACUGUGUCCUGAACUGCCCAGAUCUCAGUGGAGGAGAGGAAGGGGAUCGUCAGAGGGAGGCAGGAUUGGUCUCGCCUUUUGGAUAAGGGACAGGACUUCGUCUCCCUCUAGAUAUCUGCAAUAACCAGAGUUUCUUCUCUCUUCUGGCCCACCCAUCUCCUCCUGGUCUUAUCUCCACUCAGACACACAAAGCAGGGACAUUUCUAGCGGUUGUGUAAUCAUCAGGCCCCACCAGAGCUGGAAGCAUUUGCCACAGUACUAAGCAGGCUGAGGUCCCUGAAUACCACCCCUUGGACCUUUUUCCAACUGGUCAGUGUUGGACAGUGUCUGGGUUAUGUUACUACUCCUGGGGGAAUUCUGCACCACUGUGUGUGCAGAACUGGCUCGAGCCCCUCCACCGCAGUAAUCUGGGAAAACUUAACACCGCCCCGGGCGCCUCCAAGAGACAAUACGUCCCCACUCACAGGCACUGAGUCUGUGUUUUACAAAAGAGAACUGCUAUUGAAAGGGAAAGGGAACCCAGCAUUAGUUUGGGAAAACAUCACAACCACACUCAAACACAUGUGAUCAUAAGCCAAGCCAACCCCACAGCACACUUUUGUUAGGUGGGUUCAUUUUCGUAUGUUUUGUGACUACAGGAAUCCAUGUUGGUUUCAAAAUGGAAUUUUAUGCCCACGUGAGCUAUAGGUCCAUUUUCCCGCUCUUUUAUUUCUCCUGGAGUUGUAAACAACUUCCAGUCAGAACUGGUUUUCCUAAGGGGUUUCCCAGAAGGGGCUUCCCGCCUUUUCUAAGGGGUUUCCCGGGCAAGUGUAUAAAAAGCUGCCCUGAACCUGGCCUCAGGGCUGUCCAACUGAGUGGCAGCCAGGGACGGUCACGGGUCAUGGGUCUUACCUGCAGACAUCUAUCCAUCCUAGGGAUUUUCCUCCUACAGCUUCCUCACCUGUAAAGAGAAGAGAGGAGAAGAAACAGCACUUACCUUUGUCAUCGUCCAUCGCUGUGCUCCUGAGCGUACCAUUUCUUCUGUUUUCCUGUGGCCCCGAAGGAACAUCAAGGGACUCCUUGGAGCUCCUCUCCAAAGCCUGCCGUUAGCCAGAGGAUUGAGGUCCCAAGCACCUGCUGUCGCUUUGAUCUGUGAAGACGGUUUUUAUAUCUGUUUUGUAGGGUGGAGUUUGGGGGUAAUCACUGUAUUGCGCAAUUUUGCUCUUUAUUCCCCUUCUUAUUUGUCCCACUCUUUGUUAUAAACCCUUCAAUACACUUUAUUUGAUUUUACCUUUA